rnacentral:rRNA from 1 species
CAAGCUGGUCGUGGCUUCUUCUCUAGGUACCGUCAGUCUGCUUCGUUAAAGCAGGUUUUCUUCCCUAUCGAAAGAGGUUUACAAUCCGAAGACCUUCAUCCCUCACGCGGCGUCACAUAGUCAGACUUUCGUCCAUUGCUAAAUAUCCUCGACUGCAGCCUCCCGUAGGAGUUGGGGCAGUGUCUCAGUCCCCAUGUGGCUGACCACCCUCUCAGGCCAGCUACCCGUCAAAAGCCUUGGUAGGCCAUUACCCCACCAACUAGCUGAUAGGACGCGAGCUCAUCUCUAAACAAAAACCCUUACGGGCCUCCUUUACUUACAACUGCUUAUGCAGCUGUAAGCACAUCGGGUAUUACUCUCACUUUCGCAAGGCUAUCCCCGACUUAGAGGUAAAUUACUCGCGCAUUACUCACCAGUCUGCCGCUAUAUCUUUUCUCCUUCAACAGAUCUGCCUUACGGCUUCACCAUAUCCAGAAAAAAGUAUCGCUCGACUUGCAUGCCUAAUCUACGCCGCCAGCGUUCACUCUGAGCCAUGAUCAAACUCUAAUCACUAGUGAAUUCGCGGCCGCCUGCAGGUCGACCAUAUGGGAGAGCUCCCAACGCGUUGGAUGCAUAGCUUGAGUAUUCUAUAGUGUCACCUAAAUAGC